AUGCACACUUUGACAAGUAUCCUAGCUGAUUAUGAGGUGGCAUCAGGACAGAAGGUAAACCUACAAAAAUCAUCUAUAUUUUUUGGUAAGGGUUGCAGGCAGGAGGACAAGGAAGGACUCAAGCAAGCUAUUGGCAUUACCUCUGAAGCCUUAAGUGAACGUUACCUCGGUUUACCAACACUGGUUGGGAGAUCAAAAGAGGGCACGUUUAAAUACGUAAAGGAAUGCGCAACAGGCAAGGUC
rnacentral:rRNA from 1 species